ACUCCUACGGGAGGCAGCAGUGGGGAAUCUUGGACAAUGGGCGCAAGCCUGAUCCAGCCAUGCCGCGUGAGUGAUGAAGGCCCUAGGGUCGUAAAGCUCUUUCGCCAGGGAUGAUAAUGACAGUACCUGGUAAAGAAACCCCGGCUAACUCCGUGCCAGCAGCCGCGGUAAUACGGAGGGGGUUAGCGUUGUUCGGAAUUACUGGGGCGUAAAGCGCGCGUAGGCGGACUGGAAAGUUGGGGGUGAAAUCCCGGGGGCUCAACCCCGGAACUGCCUCCAAAACUCCCAGUCUUGAGUUCGAGAGAGGUGAGUGGAAUUCCGAGUGUAGAGGUGAAAUUCGUAGAUAUUCGGAGGAACACCAGUGGCGAAGGCGGCUCACUGGCUCGAUACUGACGCUGAGGUGCGAAAGUGUGGGGAGCAAACA
rnacentral:rRNA from 1 species